UCUAUUUAUACCGGAAGUGGAUUCCGACACCACGCUUAGCCGGAAGUUAACAGGCGCCAUCUUGUUGGAAGGACGUUGUUUUUAUCCUUGGAGAGGAGAUGGUAUCUUUCGGACGACAUACAGCAUGUUGCCUUUUGCAAUUGUUGAUUUUGAAAAUGGUGGAGGAUUGGCAGUGAUUCCGACCAAAUGGUUUAUCGGGCCUUAGGAGGAUGAAUGCUACUGGCCACCAGCAAGAGUUAACAUAGCAAAGGUGGUCAUAGAGCAACAGGACCCCCACCCUGACUGGGUAACCUACAAGUUGACUGUCAAGAGAAAAGCAGACAGCAACAUACGAGAUAGCCCGUAUAAAACUGGUUGAGUUUGAACAGAACACAGAUGUCCCGACAGAGUCUGAUUCUGCGGAGAACAUGGGAAGGGGAAGCGCAAAAAGAGGUCUAGGAGAGUGAUUCUGUCCAGCGAGGAAGAAGAUGAUAGCCCUACACCUCCACUACCUCCAUCCACCCACAGGUAUGUACUGAC